rnacentral:rRNA from 1 species
GACGAACGCUGGCGGCGUGCUUAACACAUGCAAGUCGAACGAAGUGGCGAACGGGUGAGUAAUACGUGAGUAACCUGCCCUCCUUUUUGGGAUAAGCCUUGGAAACGGGGUCUAAUACCGAAUAAAGGGGGAUGGGCCCGCGGCCUAUCAGCUUGUUGGUGGGGUGAUGGCCUACCAAGGCGGUGACGGGUAGCCGGCCUGAGAGGGUGACCCGCCACAUUAGAAAUGGUAUACGGCCCAGACUGCUACGGGAGGCAGCAAUAGGGGAUAUUGGACAAUGGGCGAAAGCCUGAUGCAGCGGCGCCGCGUGAGGGAUGAAGGCUUGCGGGUUGUAAACCUCGUUGGCUAUCGGACGGGUAGGUGGAGAAGAAGCGCCGGCUAACUACGUGCCAGCAGCCGCGGUAAUUC